CAUGCCAAUUGCAAGUUCGGGUCGUGACCUGUGCUCCUGACAAAGCGGCCGCGAGACCGCCCGUUCCCACCCGCCUCCCCUCCUUGGGUUCGAGGGCUCUGAUAGAGCGGCUCACACAACUCGGGAGAACCUCUCCCUUCUGAACAGCCACAGGGAAGAGGCGCAUAGAGCAAAACAUGUGUGGCGGGGAGGAGGAGCUCCCGGGGCCUCUCUGGGGGUGCCGCUCUCCCCGAACCUCCACGUGUUCGCCAGCGCGGCAGCUGUCUGAGCGCCGUCCUUUCGCAGUCUGACGGAGACUCCAUCGCCUGGGCAUAGUCGAUUACGGUCAUUGGCCGUUGGCUGCUCAGCGCGACCUUCAGCCCCUCUUGCCCCCGCCCCCGCCCCAGGGCUGGGGGCGGGGACGGGGACGGGCCUGAAACUGCCAAGGCCCGAAUCGAAUCGCACAGUUGGUUUCCCCGGCACCCAGCCCCCACCCUUAGGGCUUCUCCAACACUCGCCUCGUUAACACCAGUUCAGGUGGCGUUGAAAGGGGCUUGUUAGGAAUAACACCAGACAAACCGCUUCGCCUUUCUGGCUCUGGACUCGUUUCAGGAACUGAGCCCUAAAGUGAUUCUCCUAACCAGAGAUGCGCCAUGUGGCUCUCGUAGGGGCAAUCACAGCACCUUGAGGCGCUCGGUGCCAGAAACCAAGGGAAGACAUUUACUGUUAUAGCGCCAGGAGCGCACAGCAUUGAGAGCACUAAGGUCUCGAGCAAAGCUAGAGUCCCCUGCUCUGAAAACUUCCUGAUUCCGGGAAAGCUUCCUCUUUCUGGCUUCUGGCUUCAAGGGGCGUAUGUUUUACCCGGGGCCGGCCCCCUACCUGCUUCCGUUUUACCUUUCCUGGCGUGGCACCGGCUGCUCACUCCACCUGUCCUUGGGCCCAUAGUUCCGAGUUAGCCCUGCUUGAAUCAUGUAGGGGAGUCUCUCGCUUCUCAGGGGCUGCUGUAUCCUGCAAGAGGGCCAUCAGCUCACCUCCCCCACUUCUUGGCGCUUGGAGCUCGGUUUUCUCCUGUUCCCGGCCUGUGGAGGCCCCUAACUCACAGAGCACGUCCCUCCCUAGAAGGCGGUGGGGAACGGGGCAUUCUGGUACAUGCGGCGAGGAAUCCUUCAGCAGUUUGGACCCUGUUUCACAGGUCCAGGGCUCCAGAAAGCUUCCGGUCUCUCCCAUUCCUGAGACCUCCUUCAGUUCACACUUUCCUUCGGAAAGGUUUCCCUUGUGGGCAUUCCACACCAAGAACACGGCUCCACUAGGGAGCAAAGAUUCAGCCUGCUCCCCUCCUCCCUGCCGAGGUCACCGGGGCCUCCCGGAGCCAACCGGGGGAGGGGGCUGUCCCUCAGCCCCAUCACGUCUCAUCUGUGGUCAAGGGAAACUGCCACGGCUCGGGCUUCUUCGAUCCCUUCCCUCCCUGGGGACGGUUCGGACAAUCCUGCCACCAACGCCCUUGCUCUUGGCAGUCCGCCCACCGAUUAGCCCCCGACAUUGCGGGUGGCCUCCUGGCCCCUCGGUGGGGGCCGGGGUUACUCACCCAUGGCAUAUGCCCCCUCUCCCUCAGGAUACCUUGAGGAGACUGGCGGGCCACAGCGAGCAGGGCGGCCUGCCUUUUCAUCAUCCUGUCUUCCUUUGCAUCCUCAGCUUCAAGCCGGUUAUGGAGCACCCUCCGUGCAGCCACUCGGAGCUGUGCAGGACUGGUAGCAGGACCGAUCGGCAACUUUGGGAGUUUCCCACGGGUGUCUGGAGCACUUCUGAGGUCUGAAACACGGAUUCGGGAUCACUGUACUGCCCCGGGCCUCCAGGUCCCAGUUUGUGUAUCGCCUGAGGCAGUCCUGCGGCCUCUGGAACAAAGAUCAUUGGGAUUCCACCCUGCCUCGCUCUC